AGUGAACGCUGGCGGUAGGCCUAACACAUGCAAGUCGAACGGCAGCACAGUAAGAGCUUGCUCUUACGGGUGGCGAGUGGCGGACGGGUGAGGAAUACAUCGGAAUCUACUUUUUCGUGGGGGAUAACGUAGGGAAACUUACGCUAAUACCGCAUACGACCUACGGGUGAAAGCAGGGGAUCUUCGGACCUUGCGCGAUUGAAUGAGCCGAUGUCGGAUUAGCUAGUUGGCGGGGUAAAGGCCCACCAAGGCGACGAUCCGUAGCUGGUCUGAGAGGAUGAUCAGCCACAGUGGAACUGAGACACGGUCCAGACUCCGACGGGAGGCAGCAGUGGGGAAUAUUGGACGAUGGGCGCAAGCCUGAUCCAGCCAUGCCGCGUGGGUGAAGAGGGCCUUCGGGUUGUAAAGCCCUUUUGUUGGGAAAGAAAAGCAGCAGGUUAAUACCCCGCUGUUCUGACGGUACCCAAAGAAUAAGCACCGGCUAACUUCGUG
rnacentral:rRNA from 1 species